GCCUGUCUGGGCUGGCAUCGUCCCUGCCACCUCUCAAAGCGUGGCGGUAAGAAAACACCAGAAGGUGAUGACCACCGUGCCCAGCUGACACCCAGAAAACGUCCACCUCUAGACAAGAGACUCAGAAGCUUUGCCAAAGAGCUCCCGCUCCCUGUGGAACAUCUGACGCCAUCACCAAGAGCCAAGGUGUGCGGAGCUUCACCCUACCGGCACCAUUCUGAGCGAUGAUCGCUUAUGAACCAUUUAACUCUCAGAGCUGGAGGUACCCCACUCAGGGGCAGGGAAACUGAGGCAUAAUGGAGUAAAGCAGCUGGUGCAGUUUGUCCACCAGAGGAGCACCAGGUUGGGGCUCAAAUCAACAGAGCUAGGAGAAAAACAUUGGAGAGAUGGGAGGAGGCGAGGCGACAAGUGCUUCAGUUUAUUUAUUUAGCGGUACUGCAGAUUGAACCUAAGCCUUCGCCACUGAACCACAUCUUCAUCCCUUUUUAUCUUUUAUUUUUUUUUACUUUUGAGGCAGAGUAUUAGUAAAUUGCUAAGUGACUUUCUGGGCAAGGGUCAAACUUAGCGACCCUCCUGCCUCAGCUUCCCAGAAGGCUGGGAGUGCGGGCACGUUUGCCACCAUGCCCCUGACUCCCAGAUUUCUUCUUUGCCCUGGGCUGAGGGACCACACAAUCUGGCCUGGGCACCCUGAGGUGGCCCUCCCAUGUGCUCCCGUGUUACCCUCUGGAGACGCAGGUGCUUCCUGACCUUGUCUAACAGCUGCAAACUCAGGAGUGUGAGGCCUAGAACCUGGAAUGCAGCCGUGAUGGGGCUGUGGCCCUGGGGCCUGCAUUCUUGUGCCAGGCCGUGACUUUUCUGGAUUACUCUUCAGGAAGCUGGCUGGGCCAGGAACCAACUUCCAGCAGGCAGAGAGGGAGUCCAGAGAGCCGGGUGCUGCUGCCUCUGCCCAGCCUCCUCUUCCAGGAGCCUCAGAGGGAACGACGGAGCUGCCAGCAGCAGCCAGCCCAGGCAUCCGGAGGGGGCGGAGAGAGGCUGACCCCCGUUCCUGCAGCCCCAGGGCUCUAGGCUCUGCAGCUAAUGCCACGGCCCGAGAAAUGGGAAACGGCGAGCCAAGUCUGCGAGCUUCCGCCCAGGGUCGGGUGUGGAUUCCUGACCUCAUCCCACGGCCUCACUUGCCCCUGGUCUGUGCUGUUGUCUUCCCAUUCAUGAAGAACCCACCCCUGAAGGCAGGCGUUGAUGCUGAGUUAUAUUAAAAUAUUUGUGGC
rnacentral:lncRNA from 1 species